ACUAAGCCAUGCAUGUCUAAGUCCAAGCUGUGUGUCGGGCGCAAGUUCGCACACGGCGAAACCGCGGACGGCUCAUUAAAUCAGUCGUGGUCCAAAUGGGCUAGAGUUAUCUUACUUGGAUAACUGUGGUAAUUCCAGAGCUAAUAUAUGCAACUGAUAUCACGAAUGGCGUUCCUCGGAACGCUAUGACUGAUGCUUUUAUUAGACCAAACCGCUACCGAGAAGGACCUUGUGAAAUUCUCGUAGACUCGUGUUAUGGUGACUCCGGAUAACAAACCACGGACAAGCGCACGUAUCCNUUAACUUGGGACGGCGCUGCCACUUUCGAGUGUCUGCCUUAUCAGCUAUGUAUCGUUCGUUAUGUGCGACCGAUGGCUUUGACGGGUAACGGGGAAUCAGGGUUCGAUUCCGGAGAGGCAGCCUGAGAAACGGCUACCACGUCCAAGGACGGCAGCAGGCACGCAAAUUACCCAAUCCCAGCACAUGGGGGAGGUAGUGACGAAAUAUAACGAUGCGGGCGCCCCUUCUGGGGCCCCGCAAUCGGAAUGGGCAUUUUCUUUCUAAACACCCUGACGAGAACCUACUGAAGGGCAAGUCUGGUGCCAGCAGCCGCGGUAAUUCCAGCUUCAGCAGCAUCUACUAAAGUUGCUGCGGUUAAAAGGCUCGCAGUUGAAUGUCAGUAUCAAGCGCAGCGAUGGUGGACGUUGGAGUGUGGGAGUCUCUCGGUCAGUGGCGCGCGUCUUUGUCAGGAUGUGGCGCGCUGGUCGAGCUCCCCGCCUAUAACUCCCGUCCGUAACAAGCCUCCUGGCUUGCGUACAAAGUGGAAGCUUUUCGGCUCGGUCUCAUUGCGAGACGCGGGGUCUUUUUUCGGCGAGCGUCGAUCUCUUACUAGUACUUCCCUCGUGGUGAGAACGUUUGAGCUCUCGGCGCGCGUUCGGGGAGAGAUUUCGUUGAGCUGGCUUACAAAGUCACCCUGAGUAAAUCAGAGUGCUCAAAGCAGUCGUAAGGAACGUGCAGCUCGCGCUGUACGCUCUGUGACUAAUGUCUUCAUUGACAGACGGUCUUGGUUUUGCAUGGUAUGUCGAAAGACGCCGUAUCUUGUCGGUAACGAGUCUUGGUGGGUUCGCUUUCCAUCAGCGUGGUCAUCCCCGGGAGCGUCAAAAGUGAGUCGUUGUGCGAUGCGGGAAUGUGGGAUCACAAUCUCGCCUCUCGCGCGACUUCUCAUCUCUCGGUGUGGUGGCUCGUUGGUAACGGUUGCGACGUAAAGACCGACAAGUGCGGAAUGAUUAAAAGGCACGGUCGAGGGCAUUGGUAUUGCGAGGCGAGAGGUGAAAUUCUAUGACCCCCGCAAGACCUCCUGAAGCGAAAGCGUCUGCCAAGGACGUUUUCAUUAAUCAKAACGAAAGGGCGUGGAGCCUGCGGCUUAAUUUGACUCAACACGGGCCAUCUCACCAGGCCAGCACUCUUGUACGAUUGACAGAUUGAGAGUUCUUUCUCGAUUCAGUGGAUGGUGGUGCAUGGCCGUUCUUAGUUGGUGGAGUGAUCUGUCUGGUUAAUUCCGAUAACGAACGAGACUCUCCCCUGCUAACUAGUCGAUUGGAUCUUGCGUCUGGAGAGUUGUGUCUGUGGGGCGCGGCUCGCGCGAGCUGUCUUGUACGGACUCUCACUCACGUGGGAGCGAGUUAUCGAUAUAACUUGUGUGUGUCCGUGUUUCCAGCACACUCCAAGUCCAUCGCUUAAGCACUGGUAAUGCGUAACAACAAAGCUAUGUUUAAUACUCUUCUUAGAGGGAUUCACGGUUCUGAAGCCGUAAGAAACUGAGAGCAAUAACAGGUCUGUGAUGCCCUUAGAUGUUCUGGGCCGCACGCGCGCUACAAUGCCGGGCUCAGCAGGUAUAAAUCCUUCUCCGAGAGGAGUGGGUAACCCUCUGAAAGCCCUCUCUCAUUAUCAAAGGACACUGCGCUCUCGUUAACGCUUGAGCGCGUGUUCUCCGUGGCUUGCUUGGGCCUGGGGCUUGCAAUUCUUUCCCACAAACGAGGAAUGCCUAGUAGCGGCGGGUCACUGAGCCCGCUGUGACUCAGUCCCUGCCCUUUGUACACACCGCCCGUCGCUACUACCGAUUGGGUGUACCAGUGAGAUCCUUGGACUGGCGAGCCUUGUCGCGAGCAAUCGUGUGCAAGUGUGUACGACGGAAAGAGGCUCGAACUGGUGCACUUAGAGGAAGUAAAAGUCGUAACAAGGUCC
rnacentral:rRNA from 1 species